AGAGUUUGAUCAUGGCUCAGAACGUACGCUGGCGGCACGCCUAACACAUGCAAGUCGAACGAAGUAGCAAUACUUAGUGGCAGACGGGUGAGUAACAUGUGGGUAUCUGCCCUUUGGCCUGGAAUAACACGAGGAAACUUGUGCUAAUACCGGAUAAGUCUUUACGGAGAAAGCUUUAUGCACCAUUGGAUGAGCCCGCACUUGAUUAGUUUGUUGGUGGGGUAAUGGCCUACCAAGACUGUGAUCAAUAGCUGAUUUGAGAGGAUGAUCAGCCACAUUGGGACUGAGACACGGCCCAAACUCCUACGGGAGGCAGCAGUGGGGAAUCUUGCACAAUGGAGGAAACUCUGAUGCAGCGAUGCCGCGUGAGUGAAGAAGGCCCUUGGGUUGUAAAGCUCUUUCGUCGGGGAAGAAAAUGACUGUACCCGAAUAAGAAGGUCCGGCUAACUUCGUGCCAGCAGCCGCGGUAAUACGAAGGGACCUAGCGUAGUUCGGAAUUACUGGGCUUAAAGAGUUCGUAGGUGGUUGAAAAAGUUAGUGGUGAAAUCCCAGAGCUUAACUCUGGAACUGCCAUUAAAACUUUUCAGCUAGAGUAUGAUAGAGGAAAGCAGAAUUUCUAGUGUAGAGGUGAAAUUCGUAGAUAUUAGAAAGAAUACCAAUUGCGAAGGCAGCUUUCUGGAUCAUUACUGACACUGAGGAACGAAAGCAUGGGUAGCGAAGAGGAUUAGAUACCCUCGUAGUCCAUGCCGUAAACGAUGUGUGUUAGACGUUGGAAAUUUAUUUUCAGUGUCGCAGCGAAAGCGAUAAACACACCGCCUGGGGAGUACGACCGCAAGGUUAAAACUCAAAUGAAUUGACGGGGACCCGCACAAGUAGUGGAGCAUGUGGUUUAAUUCGAAGAUACGCGCAGAACCUUACCAACACUUGACAUGUUCGUCGCGACUCUAAGAGAUUGGAGUUUUCGGUUCGGCCGGACGAAACACAGGUGCUGCAUGGCUGUCGUCAGCUCGUGUCGUGAGAUGUUGGGUUAAGUCCCGCAACGAGCGCAACCCUCACUUUUAGUUGCCAUCAUUAAGUUGGGCACUCUGAAAGAACUGCCAGUGAUAAGCUGGAGGAAGGUGGGGAUGACGUCAAGUCCUCAUGGCCCUUACGUGUUGGGCUACACACGUGCUACAAUGGUAUCUACAACAGGAAGCAAGACUGCGAGGUCAAGCAAAUCCUUAAAAGAUAC
rnacentral:rRNA from 1 species